GGGUCUGUGUUCUGUGAGGCACUUAUGGGUGUUAUAAGCACUUAUCGCCCUUUUUUUUUUACAGCUUCCACCUGGAACGCCAAUUUCAUCUUCUACAACUUCGAAUUGGGUUCCGGUGUGAAGGUGCAAAUUUUUAUCUGAUUAGCGGCAGGAUUUGGCAAAUGGCAAAAUAUAUGCCAAAUGCAAAACAGGAGACUGUCCUGCCAAGAAAAUUCGCUACCUCGUAGGAGGUCCAACAACGUUCACUAACUUUACAAAACAUCUAAAAGGUGUUCAUUCGGAAGAAUGGAAAGCAUACGAAGCCCAACACAAGAUAAAGACUGACCCUAAGCAACAAUCUAUUAAGGAUUAUGCAACAAGCAAAGCAAUGCAGAGAUCACGACAGCUGCAACUCGAAGUUCAGUUAACAUAUUCCAUGGCUGAAGACAAUAUUUCCCUCAAUAUUCUGACAAAACCCCAAUUCAGGGAAUGGAUUCAGAAUGGAAUGGCUGGGUACAAGCUUCCUUCGACUGAGAGAAUGAGAAAUGUGAUGUUGCCUAAGCUGGUUGCUGCCACCAAACAACGGUCCCUUGAAUUGCUAAAGAGCUGCACGUCACUCAACAUCAUACUCGACAUUUGGUCUUCAAAGCAAAUGAUGGGUUACAUUGGCUUCAAGUGCUAAGCAGUAACCCAGGAUUAUGAGCUCGUGCAUGUCUUUUUAGGCAUUAAGCAUAUGCCUGGCCGCCACACCGCAGCCAACGUAUUUGCUGAGUAUGAGCAAAUAAUUGGGGAAUGGCAAAUUCCUUUUCAAUCCAUCAGUCAAGAUAAGACAGACGGCGGUUCCAAUGUGGUUGCCAACACGUUUUAUAUACCUAUUCCUGGCUGGAAAGAGUUUGAAGAUGUGAGCUGUGUUAGAGAUUAUACAGAAAACUUUGAUGACGGAUCAAUCACGUCCGCCCCAGCAGUUAGUAAUGGAAAUGGUGAUGAAGAGGACAUGGUGGAGAUAGAUAUCUCAUCAACAGAAAAAUAGGAGGAUGCUUUCUGGACUAUGCUAGCGGGAUUGGAAAUCGACGUUGUCGAGAUUAAAAUCGAAGACGACGAUGAUAGGGACGAGUUCCACGAAGUAAAAACAGACCUUUAAAGUGUCAUACCAUCUUCCAACAAUGCUUUACAGCCAGCAUACCAAGACAGAUACGUUUUGAACAUGAAAUAACGCUCUUCAUGUGUUGCCCAUUUGCUCCAACUCGUGAUUAAGACCGGACUUUCUGCUUUGCAGGGUUGAAGCGGCUUCUUCCGUAAAGAAAGCUGGGAAGAUCGUGUCCUACAUUAGGAAAAGCGUGUUGGACACGGAAAAACUUUUUAAAGCCGUUGGUUUCCGAUUGCCGAACGAAAACGCUACUAGGUGGAAUAGUCAAU